rnacentral:rRNA from 1 species
AUUGAACGCUGGCGGAAUGCUUUACACAUGCAAGUCGAACGGUAGAGGGGGCAACCCCUCGAGAGUGGCGAACGGGUGAGUAAUAUAUCGGAACGUGCCCAGUCGUGGGGGAUAACGUAGCGAAAGUUACGCUAAUACCGCAUACGAUCUACGGAUGAAAGCGGGGGAUCGCAAGACCUCGCGCGAUUGGAGCGGCCGAUAUCAGAUUAGGUAGUUGGUGGGUAAAGGCUCACCAAGCCAACGAUCUGUAGCUGGUCUGAGAGGACGACCAGCCACACUGGAACUGAGACACGGUCCAGACUCCUACGGGAGGCAGCAGUGGGGAAUUUUGGACAAUGGACGCAAGUCUGAUCCAGCCAUUCCGCGUGCAGGAUGAAGGCCCUCGGGUUGUAAACUGCUUUUGUACGGAACGAAAAGGUUUCCAUUAAUACUGGGAGCUCAUGACGGUACCGUAAGAAUAAGCACCGGCUAACUACGUGCCAGCAGCCGCCGUAA